rnacentral:rRNA from 1 species
UACGGAGGGAGCUAGCGUUGUUCGGAAUUACUGGGCGUAAAGCGCGCGUAGGCGGCUUUGCAAGUUAGAGGUGAAAGCCCGGGGCUCAACCCCGGAAUUGCCUUUAAAACUGCAUCGCUAGAAUCCGGGAGAGGUGAGUGGAAUUCCGAGUGUAGAGGUGAAAUUCGUAGAUAUUCGGAAGAACACCAGUGGCGAAGGCGGCUCACUGGACCGGCAUUGACGCUGAGGUGCGAAAGCGUGGGGAGCAAACAGG